rnacentral:rRNA from 1 species
UGCCAGCCCGCUCAGAAACUCAAAUGAAUUGACGGGGCCCGCACAAGCGGUGGAGUAUGUGGUUUAAUUCGAUGCAACGCGAAGAACCUUACCUGGUCUUGACAUCCCGGAGACCCUUAGGAAACUAGGGGGUGCUUCCAUCUGGAAGAAUCUGGAGACAGGUGCUGCAUGGCUGUCGUCAGCUCGUGUCGUGAGAUGUUGGGUUAAGUCCCGCAACGAGCGCAACCCUUGCCUUUAGUUGCCAGCAGUUCGGCUGGGCACUCUAAAGGGACUGCCGGUGUUAAACCGGAGGAAGGUGGGGAUGACGUCAAGUCCUCAUGGCCUUUAUGACCAGGGCUACACACGUACUACAAUGGCCGAUACAAAGGGCAGCGACACUGCGAGGUGAAGCCAAUCCCGUAAAAUCGGUCUCAGUCCGGAUUGGAGUCUGCAACUCGACUCCAUGAAGUUGGAAUCGCUAGUAAUCGUGGAUCAGCAUGCCACGGUGAAUACGUUCCCGGGCCUU